AAUUGCAGAAUCCCGUGAACCAUCGAGUCUUUGAACGCAAGUUGCGCCCGAAGCCAUUAGGCCCAGGGCACGUCUGCCUGGGUGUCACGC
rnacentral:rRNA from 1 species